UUGAAGAAGAGCGGCCUGUAGCUGAAGGUCUGGAUGGACGUGAUGUGGACUCUGACAGGUUGACAGGAGGUUUCGAUUGAACUACGAUGGCCUAAGGUAACCUAAUACAGUGAUUGGUUUGUCCCCUCUAGGCUACUGUAGCAACAUGGCGAUGGAACAUGGGGGAGCAUGUCAAGAGGACCCGCCAAUUAAAACACUACUCUUAUUUGUUUCAGGAAAAGAAAAGGGAUCUUCCGCUGGAGGGUCAUGGUUAAGACUCAGCUGGAGUAGGAGGGGGUACCGGGAGAAGACCUGGCAACCUCGCUCCGGUGAUUAGCCCGGAGGAUUAGCAACCUGGCCCCCCACCACCUCGACUGGUUCCUGGCGAAGUGGAUGCCAGCUUGGCAACACCAACAUCACUUUCUCUCCAAACCCAGCUCUUGUUGGUGGCCUGCCACGUUUCCUUUGUGAUCUGGCAUCAGCGUCGGUGAUCUGUUGGGCUGACCGAGAGAGGAGCGAGGAGCGAAUAAGUGAUAGAUGCACUAGAGGAGCUGAGCGCCUGUUUCAUAACGCUGCUGUUUAUGCUGAGGUCAUAAGAAACAGCAUUACAUCACGGAUGUCACAAUCGAGGGGAAUCCCACCCCACCUAGUUCACUUUAAUGGAGAAAAAUGUAUUUUCCCCUCACCACAAAGCCAAUCAAUUAGUCAGUCAGAUGAUCAAUCAAUCAGUAAAUCCAUCAGUUGGUUGGGCAGGAAAAUUAUCCCUGCUCCGCCCUCAAUACGGAUCAUGCAUUAUGGAUGCUGUGCGUUCUCUGAUGCUCUUAGCGGAGAAAAGGCAUCAUGUCCUCAUUAUGCCUCAAUCAAUUAGUUAGUCAGAAAAUCAAUCACGGAGGGGAUCCAUCCAUCAGUAUCCGGUGUGUUUACAGUUUGGAAUUACUUUACAGUAACUAACGCUGUGACAUCUUGUGUGUUUUAUAGUGAUCCGACCCCCAUGUAAACGUCAUUCCUAAUAACUUGUACACAUAAGCAGUAAAACCACCAUGUACAAUGUCUAAUUAUGGGUAAUUUCCAAACAAUUUAAGAUGAUAAAUGUGGUUGUUGUUUGUUCAAACAAUGUGUUUAAAACACAUUUUAAUACUACAUUCAAUUCUAUCUAAAGUUAUAAAAUACAUUAUGCAAGCAAAA